rnacentral:rRNA from 1 species
CACGGAUCCAGAGUUUGAUCAUGGCUCAGGAUGAACGCUAGCUACAGGCUUAACACAUGCAAGUCGAGGGGCAGCAUGAACUUAGCUUGCUAAGUUUGAUGGCGACCGGCGCACGGGUGAGUAACACGUAUCCAACCUGCCGAUGACUCGGGGAUAGCCUUUCGAAAGAAAGAUUAAUACCCGAUGGCAUAGUUCUUCCGCAUGGUCGAACUAUUAAAGAAUUUCGGUCAUCGAUGGGGAUGCGUUCCAUUAGGUUGUUGGCGGGGUAACGGCCCACCAAGCCUUCGAUGGAUAGGGGUUCUGAGAGGAAGGUCCCCCACAUUGGAACUGAGACACGGUCCAAACUCCUACGGGAGGCAGCAGUGAGGAAUAUUGGUCAAUGGACGAGAGUCUGAACCAGCCAAGUAGCGUGAAGGAUGACUGCCCUAUGGGUUGUAAACUUCUUUUAUACGGGAAUAAAGUGAGGCACGUGUGCCUUUUUGUAUGUACCGUAUGAAUAAGGAUCGGCUAACUCCGUGCCAGCAGCCGCGGUAAUACGGAGGAUCCGAGCGUUAUCCGGAUUUAUUGGGUUUAAAGGGAGCGUAGGCGGACGCUUAAGUCAGUUGUGAAAGUUUGCGGCUCAACCGUAAAAUUGCAGUUGAUACUGGGUGUCUUGAGUACAGUAGAGGCAGGCGGAAUUCGUGGUGUAGCGGUGAAAUGCUUAGAUAUCACGAAGAACUCCGAUUGCGAAGGCAGCUUGCUGGACUGUAACUGACGCUGAUGCUCGAAAGUGUGGGUAUCAAACAGGAUUAGAUACCCUGGUAGUCCACACAGUAAACGAUGAAUACUCGCUGUUUGCGAUAUACAGUAAGCGGCCAAGCGAAAGCGUUAAGUAUUCCACCUGGGGAGUACGCCGGCAACGGUGAAACUCAAAGGAAUUGACGGGGGCCCGCACAAGCGGAGGAACAUGUGGUUUAAUUCGAUGAUACGCGAGGAACCUUACCCGGGCUUGAAUUGCAACUGAAUGAUGUGGAGACAUGUCAGCCGCAAGGCAGUUGUGAAGGUGCUGCAUGGUUGUCGUCAGCUCGCGCCGUGAGGUGUCGGCUUAAGUGCCAUAACGAGCGCAACCCUUAUCGAUAGUUACCAUCAGGUUAUGCUGGGGACUCUGUCGAGACUGCCGUCGUAAGAUGUGAGGAAGGUGGGGAUGACGUCAAAUCAGCACGGCCCUUACGUCCGGGGCUACACACGUGUUACAAUGGGGGGUACAGAAGGCAGCUACACGGCGACGUGAUGCUAAUCCCUAAAGCCUCUCUCAGUUCGGAUUGGAGUCUGCAACCCGACUCCAUGAAGCUGGAUUCGCUAGUAAUCGCGCAUCAGCCACGGCGCGGUGAAUACGUUCCCGGGCCUUGUACACACCGCCCGUCAAGCCAUGAAAGCCGGGGGUACCUGAAGUGCGUAACCGCAAGGAGCGCCCUAGGGUAAAACUGGUGAUUGGGGCUAAGUCGUAACAAGGUAGCCGUAAGCUUCAC